rnacentral:tRNA from 1 species
AGGAUUAUAGUUAACUAUAACAUUUAAUUUGCAAUUAAAAAGUAUUGAAACUUUUUCAAUUAAUCUUA